UACGUAGGGGGCAAGCGUUGUCCGGAAUCAUUGGGCGUAAAGCGCGUGUAGGCGGUCCGAUAAGUCCGCUGUGAAAGUCGGGGGCUCAACCCUCGGAUGCCGGUGGAUACUGUCGGGCUUGAGUACGGAAGAGGCGAGUGGAAUUCCUGGUGUAGCGGUGAAAUGCGCAGAUAUCAGGAGGAACACCAAUUGCGAAGGCAGCUCGCUGGGACGUUACUGACGCUGAGACGCGAAAGCGUGGGGAGCAAACGGG
rnacentral:rRNA from 1 species